UACGUAGGGUGCAAGCGUUGUCCGGAAUCAUUGGGCGUAAAGCGCGUGUAGGCGGCUUGGUAAGUCUGCUCUGAAAGCCCGGGGCUCAACCCUGGGAGGCGGGUGGAUACUGCUGAGCUCGAGUCCGGAAGAGGCGAGUGGAAUUCCUGGUGUAGCGGUGAAAUGCGCAGAUAUCAGGAGGAACACCAAUGGCGAAGGCAGCUCGCUGGGACGGUACUGACGCUGAGACGCGAAAGCGUGGGAGCGAACAGG
rnacentral:rRNA from 1 species